rnacentral:lncRNA from 1 species
AACGUCAUAACAUAUAAUAUUCUGAUUGAUUCAUUUUGCAAAGAAGGACAGAUGGAGGAGGCUAAGGAUCUUUUCGACGAGCUUCCAUCCAAAGGUAUGCGGCCCAGUGUCGUAACAUAUACAAUCCUUAUCGGUGCACUUUGUGAAGAAGGACAGAUAGAGGAGGCUAAGGAUUUGAUGAUGCUAAUGAUAAACAACGGUUGCGUGCCUGAUAGUGUGACAUACAAUGUUUUUGUUCAAGGUCUUCUCAAAAGGAACAAGACAUGUGAUGCAAUACCACUGUUGGAAGAGAUGGAUGCAAGGGGUUUCACACUUGACGAAACUACAUUUUCGAUGUUGAUUGAACCUGUGGUAAGGGAAGGUAGAGAUAGUGUUCUAUUUGAUAAGAUUAAGAAACUCGUACCUAAGGACCUCUUUUCUAGAUAGGUGUUAUGUUGUGUUAGAAGUUGAAUUUUUAUUUUACCAGAAAGUAAGGGGAAAGUACACGUGCUUAAAUUGUUUGUUUAAUCUCUAUGUUUUGAUGAUUUUAAAUGCUUCAAUUGUUUCUCAACUCCAUCUACACUAUGAAGCUGUGAUGAUGAUUCUUCCAUCUCUAUCCGCUGUUGAUUUUGGGAGGAAAUGUUUCUUCCUUGAAUUCACAGCCAGUUAACUAAUGAAUAAACUUAACACCAAAUCUGAGCCUUACUUUUUUCCCAUUUCUAGUUUCAAUAUUUUUUGGGGUUGAAGUUUGAGGUUUCCAUAUGACUUUUCGCUGUAAUAAUUAGGUAUUGUUUUUUUGUCAAUAGAAAUGUCAUCUUUGAUAAGAAAAAUACAUAUAUGUAUAUACACUAUGUACAAAUGUAUUUAAAAUUUAUUUUGAUACGAAUUUUUCCUAAUUUUUUGUUGUUGAGCAUCGUAUAUACAUAAAUUAAAAAUAAUAAAUUUCUUAAUUUUGUGAUAGAAAUUGUUUGUUUAUGGAUUUAAUUGUAGUACUUAAUGAACUUUGGGGUGUUAAUUGCUAUCAACGUUAGGUUAGGGGCUUAAGUGUAGUUGGGGGUAACGUUAGGGGUGUUUUUGCAUAUUAACCCUUGUAUAAUUCAUUGGAGAUUAAAACGUAGGUCAAAGUCUAUAAGGGUGUUACACCCUAGCCAAUUUUCCUAUCAUUUUCCUACUUACAUUUAUUGGAAGAAGAAUCUUUAGGCUAUCUUCAAAUUUUGGACUCUAAUGAUUUUAAAAAAUAAAAUAUAAUUUUAUUUAAUGAUAAACAUCAUUUUCUUUAUGUCUUUUCUUGUGAUACAGCCCAAAAAUAUUAUUACCAAGAUUCAAUUAAAUUUGGACAGACUAUAUGGAUUGCUUAAUAGGUUAAGUUCGGUCCAAAAUAAACAAAUGGAUUAAUUGUAUGUGAAUUCACAAAAUUUUAUUUUUUUUUCAAACAUUUUCUACGAUUUUUUAUUUUUGCAUAAUAAUCCAUCACUUGUAAAUUUCUUCUUAAUAUUCCGCACUGACAAAAUCUGAUCAAGUUUCUUCUUUUCCAAUACCCUACAAGAUUAGAAAUACCAAUAACAAAGAAUUCUCAGCCAUCAAUUAAUAGAUUAGAGUUUAUUAGAAUACCUUUUGUUGAAGAAAUGUAGGUCCAAUCACUCAUAAGUGAUUGUCAUGUAAUUUGGCUGAAUUUUGUCAUCACGGGAAUAUUAGAAAGAAAUUUAUGGAUGAUGGAUUACUAUGAAAAAUUAAAAAAUCAUUAGAAAUAUCUGGAAAAAAAAAUGAAAUUUUGUGAAUUUACAGGUAACUAACUCGAAAAUAAAUAUAAUAGAAAGUCGAAUUAUUAAUUUUUACACGAAUUUUCAAAAGUAAACCCUCAUCUUAAUUUUUUUUUUUUUUACUUGGGGAGUUGGAGAGGAGGAGCAGUGGGGUUUGAACACGGGAUGCAGUUAACUUUUUCUUUUUCUAAAAAAAAAAUCUUUUAAAACUCAUCAUUGCGAGCUUCUAUAUUUUAUUAGCUACUAUGGGUUGUUAGUUGUUAGUUAAUUAAUAAUUUAAUAGGUGCAUCUAAGAUAGAUUAACUUAAACUGUGAAUUAAUUUUACAAAAUGCGAGCUUACUGUUAACAGAAUAUGUAUAUAUAUAUUGUUGGGGAUGGAUCCAACAAUCACUUGAAUAGGACGUCACGUACGUCCGGAUCGGCGGGCACUAGCAACCUGAAAUCACAAACACGUUAGAGCCCUUCUAGGAGUACCGGUGGGGGUGUCGAUGGAAGGGCCUCCGACGCUCAAGUCAGUCAAACAAUUCGGAUAAAUUGAUAAGAAAAACGAAUAUAAAGCAUAAAGAUGAUUGAACUAGUAGAGCAAAGGUGAGAUAAUAAAUCUCGUCGGUCGGAAUGGUUUGUCUGGCUGGUCUGUCUGACUGGUCAGAGCAAGCCCCAAUCCCGAAUAUGAGAGCGUGGAGGCGUAGAGAUCGAGCAAGCGAAGAGAGUUGAGAGCGUGAGUAAGUGGAAUAGCUCAGAAUAUGAAUGACUGCCCAGGUCGAGUGACCUAGUCGGUUCUCUUAUAUAGUAUGGAGUCUUGACGGCUAGGGUUUUUCCGGGACAUCCGUGAAACCCUAGUUGUUCCGAUAUUUUCGGGAUCGUCUCCCUCCCCUUGCCUUCUCCUUUAAGUCGCCGCCCUUCGUAUGGUUUGAUGCGAUUGGGCCUUAAUAACUUGGCGUAUGGGCCGAAUUAAGUGGAAUUAGCUCGAUUUUUGGGCUGGGCUAAUUAUUUGGACUUCGAAUAUUUAUUUAAAUGGGCUAUACGAAUUUUGUCCAUUACAGUUUGUCCCCCACUCUCUAGUUUGAUAUUCAUCAAAAUAGAGAGUAAAUCUCUUGAAUAGUUUAAUUCGUUGUAAAUUCUCGAGUGGGAGUUUAAUUAAAUCAGUAAAAUAAUAUACGAAUACCCAAAGUGAUCUGGGUUCCAGUAUAUGUUACUGAUUUAAUUGUACUGCAAUUUUGUAUAGAUUAAUUUGGGCUAAAGAAGAAUAUAUUGGCCCAUAGUCUGAUAAGCUGGGCUAUAUAGAUAUCAUGGGCCUUAGAAUUUCGUGGGAUUAUUUUUGGGCAUUAAUGGCCCAAGUAUUGAUGCUGAUUUUUCUUAAGCCCACAUGAGGUGUUUAGGGUUUCUCAAAAAUCCAAAGGCGCCUCUUUUGGGAGAAAAAGAAGAGAGCGGCGAUACAGUCGUGCGUCCCGGUGGAGCUCCCGUCGUGGCGACUGCUCCAGCGGCCAUGGGCUGGUGGACGAGAUCCGACUUGCGGCCAGGCGAGUCUGGCGACCGUUGUCGGCGUGAGUUGUACCUAGGGCGCUGCAUUGUGGAGGAGAAAGAGGAUGAAGGAGACGUGGUGGGCGUCUCCGAGCUACGGCCGUGGUGGUUACGGCUGUGGCCUUGCGGUGGGUGGCGAGGUCCGGUGGACGGACUGAUGGCGGCGGCGCGAGUGGCGUGCUGCAGUUAGCGACUUCGUCGCCGUUGUCUGCCAGUGGCAGAAAGGGAUGAGAGGGAGCGGUGUCUUUCCAGAUCUGACGUGGUUGUUGUGGCGGUCUGAGGGGGAGGUCGACGGUUGAGGCAACAAUGGCUUCCGGCGGUGGUGUUGCGGCGGCGGUGGGUUAAAAACCGACGGUGGUGGAGUUAAGGGCUGCGGUGGCGGUGAUUUCAAGAAGAGCUGGGGUCGAUUCUUGGUGGUGCGUCCGACUCGAGGUAAAAGAGAUGGGGGGUGGCGAAGGUUGACAACAUCUAAGCGUUGCCUUGCCGAAAAAACGAAGGUCAGCUGCGGAGGGGUAUUUCGCCCAAUUAUUUUCUCUCCCCUUUUUGCUUUAUCAGUAGAUUCGAGUUGUGUGGGAGGAAUUUGGUUGGUUUGUCUGGUUUGGUUGGGUGGUGUUUGGCUAGCAGGCGUUUGGCUGGUAGGCAUUGAUGUCCGAGUCAUGUAUCCGCGUGAAGAUCUCGCUGGUGUUGCUGUCGAGUCAUAUCAAGCUAGCCUGGCUGGUUUGGCUAGUUUGGGUGCUACUCGAAUGGCAUGUGAGUUGCCCAUUUCUUUUUGGAUAGGAGUAGUGUUUUGGCUGACAUAGCUAGGUAGUGUAGAUAGAUGGGUUUCUUUUAUUUUUNAUGUACUUUGUACCAUAAAGGUGUAAAUUGUUGGAUUGGUAAUAGUAUGACAGCCCCUCUUUUGCAGAGAGGUUGAGUUUGGCAGGCAACUUUUGCUCAUCACUUUUAUUUUACCCAACUAAUAACACUACACUCUCUUGCAAUUUGAAUACACGAAGUGAAACGUCUGCCAAAAUCAUACUCCUAUUUCAUCUGUAAAAAAGAAACAUCCACACAAACAAACAUCAUAUAAUAAGACAAAGAGGAGAAAGUCUCCCAUUUUUUCACACAAUUCUUUUGGAGCUUUGGAAUGGGGCUUGGGAGUACUUGACGUAGAGAGAGGAUUUUUGGAAGCUUUGAGAAGGUCGGUUUAUUGUCUCUAUAUCCUACCACGCUCUUUAUGAAUAUUCCAAGCAUGCUUAUUUAUUUGCUUCGUUCUUUGAUCGAUUUGUCGUUUAUGUAACUCUCAUUUGAUCCGUUGGCCCUCUAGUAGAUAGUAAUCUAAUUAUUUCUUGGGAGUAUGCUUAUUUUGUUCAAGCAUGAGUAUAUGUGUGAUUGUCAUGUUUGACAUGUUGGGUUGGUGCUAUAUGAUAGCUCUCAUUUUUGUUUGCCAAUGCCAUUAUAUGUAUCAUGUUAGUAGUGUAGGGUAUGUUUAGUUAGUCACGUAUGAUAUCUCUAUUUGUUCAAGUAUGGAGUAUAUGUGUGCUUGUCAUGUUUGACAUGUUGGGUUGGUGCUAUAUGAUAGCUCUCAUUUUCGUUUGUCAAUGCCAUUACAUGUAUCAUGUUAGUAGUGUAGGGUAUGCUUGGUUAGUCACGUGUGAUAUCUCCAUUUCUAUCUUUCGUCUAUUCUUGUGUGUGUCUAUUGUAAACUUGGUUGGCGUCUUUGCUUUAUGUAGCUUGGUUGACAUGUCUCGUAGUCGAGGAAUUUCUAUGGAGUCGUCGAGUAGAGUUGUCGAUUUAGAUAGUGAUGAUGUGCCUGUUGGGGUGCCUUGUAGUCGUGGGGCUCUGAGCAUGGCUGACUGCUCUGGGGCACCUGACUACAUGGCUGGUAACGGGGUGAAUAGCGAUGAUAUGAUUGACGGGGGUCGCCCUAGUCACAUCAUACUUAAAAAGAAUGAAUCAUCAUUGGUGACGUUGGCUAACCUGCGAGAGAUUCAGGCGUCAUACGACAUACCAGACUGGGUGAGCUUGCAUUCUCCUUCAGGCCUUGAGCGAGCUGAUUGGGUUUUGCCCGGGUGGACCUGCAUGUAUGUUCAGAUGUUUAAAGACGGGUGUCGUCUUCCACUUCCUAGAUUGAUUGUCGAGAUGUGCGACUACCAUAAGAUUCCUCCUGGUCAGUUGAUGCCGACUGCAUGGCGUGUUUUGAUGGCUUUGCAGGUGUUUGGGGAAAUUAACAACAUUGAUAUUACAUUGGCUGAGGUGUUAGAAACUUAUCAUCUGGCAUCUAAUCCAGGUGAUAUCGGUCGGUAUAUGUUGAAGGUUAGGGGUAACAGGUCACCCUUGAUCUUGGGUGCUGACACCUUGCAUACAAGGUGGAAAAAGAAGUAUUUCUUUGUAUCUUGUGAAGCUUUGGGUUUGGUUGAUGGGUCUGAGAUACCUUAUGCUUGGAGUUCUGCUAGUGAGUGUUGAAGUGAACUAUAUUUGUAUGUUUGUCUACCACCAUUGAUUUAAUAAGUAUUUCUUUCAUUAUUUUGCAGAUCUGAAAAACUUUCCUUAUCCUAUCGUCCGGUUGGGUGUCAAAGAGAGACGUAAGCAAAUCUUGAGCUAUCCCGAGGAGGCUCGUGAUUGGCGGGUUAUCUUGUCUGACGAUAAUUUGAGGCAAAGUUCGCUGUGGAGGGGCACUUCCUUUACUUCAGAAGGUACGGUCUCCUUGUCGACUCGGGGCCACCAAUGGACGAAGCAUCGGCGCCAACAAUCGGCGCACUGGUUUGGAAGACUAGAAAUACGAGGCAAUCGACGCCAGUAAUUAGCGAACAAUUGGCGCCACUGGUUUGGAAGACCUCGACACGAAGACUUCCACACUGGUCUGGAGAGGAACUCUUCAACAGAGGUGGCGGAAAGGAUAGCAAUCGUUUUUUUCUAGCGCCAAAAGCAAUAAUUGAUUUCUUUUUGCCCGAUAAAAACGAGAAAUUAAAAGAAAUUAGGGCUUUUUAUUAUGAUUUAAUAUUAUAUGUGUAAUUUAAAAUUCAUAUAUAUUCUACGUCAGUGUUACAUGUAAAAUUAAAUCCACGUCACUGCUAUGUCAUUUUUCCAAUCAUCAGGGAAAAAAACAUGGGGAAAUUAAACAAAUGUCAAAGUAUUUGAUAAAAAAUGAAAUUUUUAAAAAUCGUGGGGAAAAUGGAUUUCGAGCAAAGUUCGUGAUAUUAUAUGCAAUUAACCAUAAAUAAUAAGACAAAUUCAUGUUUAUUAAGAUAGAUUGAAACUUUGAAAUAACGCAAAAUUUUUAAUAAUAUUUAUCUUUUUAAUUAGUUUUGCUCGAUAACUAAAUUUUGAUAAAAACUUUCAACCAAGAUUAGCCCUAUUGAAAAUAAUUGAAGGUUAUGACCCAAGUUUAAAUUGGAUUGAACCCACAAAAGUCCUCGGGCCCAACUCUCCAAAUAUAUGGGCUUUGGGUUCGACUUAGGCCCAAUUGGAUACAGGCUUUUAUCAUAGAUUAGUAUUUGAGGGUUGAAUUGUGGAGAUUGAUCAAGAUAAACUCAUACUUACAUAUUUGAAAAAAUAAUUACAUAGCUCUAAACAAAGAUUUCUUAUUCUAUUUUUUCUUCACAUUCUUUCGCAAAGCGAUUAUCUCACUACUAUUUAUAGGUUGGGGUACUAGCUAUUAGCAAACAUGGCAAAACUUUGAUCAAUUUUGGAAAAAGAAAUGGAGUAAUGAAUUUGUACAACUGAGCCUAUAAUGAAUAAAUGUAUUUUACAAAAUAAUAUUAUUAAAAAAAUACUUUCUUAAACAAUUUAAUAGCAUGCUCUCAUAAGAGCAUCCGCAUUGGUGCCUACUCGAUAGCCUACUUGAUAGGAAGCGACCACAUUGAGUUAGGAGGCCGCAUUGAGAUUACUUGAUAGCUUACUUGAUUUUUUUAGUUUUUAUUUUUAUAUUUUUUAUUUAAUUUUAAUUGCUCAAAUUUAAAUAACACAAUUUAUUUCAAAUUAAAUAAUUGUCCGAGGCUAUUCCAAUUUCCAAUUCCCCAAAUAAUUUUUAAAAAAAAUAGAAGAACAUGAAAUUUUAGAUUAAAAUACAAAAACAAUCAUAAAAUAAGGGAAAUAGGUUUAAUAUAAAAACAAUCAUACAAAAACAAUCAUUUAUCCAAAAUAUUCCACCACCGCCUCAUUUUACAAAAACAAUCAUUUUUCGAAUUUAAUAUAAAAACAAUCAUACAAAAACAGUCAUCAUCAUUAAAUGGAACAAGUUUUUCGAUAUAUUUUUUUUAAAAUUCAAAGCGUGCAUGCACGCGCUUAACAAUUCAUCAAAUGAGGCCUACUCAAUAGAUCGAGUAAUACUCGAGUAGACAAAGGCAGCAUUGGACUACUUGAUCGCCACCUUACUCGAGUAGGGGUUAUCGAGUAGCGCAAUGCGGAUGCUCUAACCAUCUAGUUUUGAUUGAAAUCAAUUUAUUUUGUAAUAUAAAUCUUGUUGCUCUAAACAAAGUAUUUUUCACACUUCAUCACCGGUACUUGUUUGAGUGCAGGAAAUAUAGUCACUUUGCUUUUUUAUUUGUUUGGAGUAAGGGCAUUAUAGUCAAUUUGCUUUUUUAUUGAAUUUUUUAUACUUUAUUCAAGGCAAUUUACGCAUCCGACUUUAUGCCAAAUAUAUAUAUAUAUAUAUAUAUAAAAACCGAAAAUAGAAACCCCAAAACUCUGAGUAGAAUUUGAGCUAAGAGAGUGAGAAAACCUACUAAAACAUUCUAUCCCAAAAAUGAGGUCGAACCACGCCGCCAUGUUUUUCGGUAGAAUUUUGUCAAAUUCUUCAUCUAAAUUCUCCACUUUUGCCAUCCCUUCUCCACAUUAUCAAUCAUUUCUUCUACCCAGUUUUUAUUUUGAUAAUGCCAGCUGCCAAAUGAGGAGACACUUCUCCGCCUAUCCCAGAUUCGAUUUUGGAUCUAUACGUGAGCCCAAUGAUGCCGUCGCUCUAUUUCGGAAGAUGAUGAGAACGGAGCCGCUUCCUUCUGUUAAGCUUUUCUCGAAAUUGCUGAGUGCUGUGGUCAAGCUGAAACAAUACUAUGCUGCACUUCAUCUGUUCGACAAAAUGCUUCAAAGGAAUGCUCCCGUAAAUCACUACACGUUGAGUAUUGCGAUUGAUUGCUAUUGCCGACUCAAAAGGCCUGAUUUUGGGUUUGCGAUCUUAGGCAGUUUUUUCAAGCGUGGGUUCGAGCCUGAUGUUGUAACAUUCAACACUCUCGUGAAAGGCCUUCUGUUUGUUGGAAGGAUCCCAGAGGCAGCUAAAUUGUUGGGGAAGCUGUCGGCCUACCAACUGUGCGAGCCGGACGAGUAUACGUAUAGUACUAUAAUUAAUGGGUUAUGCAAAGCUGGAGAUAUUCUACAGGCGAUUGAUUUGCUCUACUUAUUGGAAAAAGUAAGAGGGAGCUGCAAACCCAAUGUCUAUGCUUACAACAUAGUCAUUGAUGGUCUAUGCAAGGACGGAAAGGUGGAUGAAGCUCUCCAACUCUUCUCCACUUUGGGUGAUAAGGGGAUUUCACCUGAUGUUGUGACAUAUAAUUCAAUAAUUGAGGGGUUGUGCAAUAGGAGAAGAAUGGACGAGGCUGAAGACAUUUUGAAGAAGAUGAUUGCUGAUCUGGUCAGCCCAAAUGUGGUGACAUGUAAUAUCUUUGUGGAUGCUUGGUGCAAGAUGGAAAGGUGAAGAGGCCGACAUAUGUUGGUGUCUAUGAAGGAAUGAUGUUCACCCAACAUUGUCACUACAUGCAUUGAUAAGGAUAUUGUUUGCAAGGGAAAAUGGAUGAAGCUGAACGCAUUUUCCAAUUGGCAGUGAUCUGGAAUAAGCCCAAUAUCAUAAGCUACAAUAGCUUGAUGAAGGGUAUUGCAAAAAGGGCCAAGUCGAUGAAGUUUCACGGCUUUUUACCAUAAUUCCCUACCAAAGGUUAGAGCGCAAUGUGGUUUCUUAUACAUAAUGCUAGAGGCCUUAUUUUGUGAUGGCAAAUGUGAAGACGGCUUAAAGCUGUUCAAAGAGAUGGAAGCUCUACAAGUGUCUCCGAAUAUAAGGACUUACAAUGUUCCAUUGAGGGACUGUGCAUUAAUAAUAAAGUUAGACAAGCGAAGGAUCAUUUCGACGAGCUUUCCUCCAAAGGUAUGCAGCCAGUAUAACAUAUACAUCCUUAUCUGCACUUUGCGAACAGGACAGAUAGAGGAGCUAAGGAUCUUUUCACGAGCUUUCCUCCAAAGGUAUGCAGCCUGACGUCAUAACAUAUACAAUCCUUAUCGGUGCACUUUGCAAGAGGCAGAUAGAGGACUAAGGAUUUGAUGAUGCAAAUGGAAACAAGGUUGCUUGCCAAACAGUGUGACAUACAAUGUUUUUGUUCAAGGUCUUCUGAAAAGGAACAAGAUGCAUGAUGCAAUGCCACUGUUGGAAGAGAUGGAUUCAAAGGGAUUCACACUCGACGAAACUACUUUUUCAAUGUUGAUUGAACUUGUGGUAAGGGAAGGUAGAGAUAGUGUUUUAUUUGAUAAGAUUAAGAAACUCGUACCAAAGGACCUCUUUUCUAAAUAGGUGUUAUUGUUUGCUUAAUCUCUAUGUUUUGAUUAUUUUAAAUGCUUCAAUUGUUUCUCGACUCCAUCUACACUAUGAGGCUGUGAUGAUGAUUCUUCCAUCUCUAUCUCAAUCUGCUGUUGAUUUUGGGAGG